GAUGAACGCUAGCUACAGGCUUAACACAUGCAAGUCGAGGGACCGGCGCACGGGUGAGUAACACGUAUCCAACCUGCCGAUAACUCGGGGAUAGCCUUUCGAAAGAAAGAUUAAUACCCGAUGGUUAUCGAUGGGGAUGCGUUCCAUUAGGCAGUUGGUGGGGUAACGGCCCACCAAACCUUCGAUGGAUAGGGGUUCUGAGAGGAAGGUCCCCCACAAUGGAACUGAGACACGGUCCAAACUCCGACGGGAUGCAGAAGUGAGGAAUAUUGGUCAAUGGACGAGAGUCUGAACCAGCCAAGUAGCGUGAAGGAUGACUGCCUAUGGGUUGUAAACUUCUUUUAUAUGGGAAUAUGUACCAUUUGAAUAAGGAUCGGCUAACUCCGUGCCAGCCGCCGCGGUAAUAC
rnacentral:rRNA from 1 species